CAUGCAAGUCGAACGAAGCACUUUAACCUGAUUCUUCGGAUGAAGGUUUUUGUGACUGAGUGGCGGACGGGUGAGUAACGCGUGGGUAACCUGCCUCAUACAGGGGGAUAACAGUUAGAAAUGACUGCUAAUACCGCAUAAGACCACGGAGCCGCAUGGCUCAGUGGGAAAAACUCCGGUGGUAUGAGAUGGACCCGCGUCUGAUUAGGUAGUUGGUGGGGUAACGGCCUACCAAGCCAACGAUCAGUAGCCGACCUGAGAGGGUGACCGGCCACAUUGGGACUGAGACACGGCCCAAACUCCUACGGGAGGCAGCAGUGGGGAAUAUUGCACAAUGGGGGAAACCCUGAUGCAGCGACGCCGCGUGAGCGAAGAAGUAUUUCGGUAUGUAAAGCUCUAUCAGCAGGGAAGAAAAUGACGGUACCUGACUAAGAAGCACCGGCUAAAUACGUGCCAGCAGCCGCGGUAAUACGUAUGGUGCAAGCGUUAUCCGGAUUUACUGGGUGUAAAGGGAGCGUAGACGGCCGUGUAAGUCUGAAGUGAAAGCCCGGGGCUCAACCCCGGGACUGCUUUGGAAACUAUGCAGCUAGAGUGUCGGAGAGGUAAGUGGAAUUCCCAGUGUAGCGGUGAAAUGCGUAGAUAUUGGGAGGAACACCAGUGGCGAAGGCGGCUUACUGGACGAUGACUGACGUUGAGGCUCGAAAGCGUGGGGAGCAA
rnacentral:rRNA from 1 species